rnacentral:rRNA from 1 species
GACGAACGCUGGCGGCGUGCUUAACACAUGCAAGUCGAACGGAAAGGCCCUGCUUUUGUGGGGGGCUCGAGUGGCGAACGGGUGAGUAACACGUGAGUAACCUGCCCUUGACUUUGGGAUAACUUCAGGAAACUGGGGCUAAUACCGGGUAGGAGCACCUGCUGCAUGGUGGGGGUUGGAAAGUUGCGGUGGUUGGGGAUGGACUAGCGGCGUAUCAGCUUGUUGGUCGGGUAGUGGCUUACCAAGGCUUUGACGGGUAGCCGGGCUGAGAGGGUGACCGGCCACAUUGGGACUGAGAUGCGGCCCAGACUCCUACGGGAGGCAGCGGUGGAGAAUAGUGCACAAUGGGCGGAAGCCUGAUGCAGCAACGCCGCGUGCGGGAUGACGGCCUUCGGGUUGUAAACCGCUUUCGCCUGUGACGAGGCGUGAGUGACGGUAAUGGGUAAAGAAGCACCGGCUAACUACGUG